UACGUAGGGUGCGAGCGUUGUCCGGAAUUACUGGGCGUAAAGUGUGCGCAGGUGGCCGCGCAAGUCGAGUGUGAAAUCCCCGAGCUUAACUUGGGAAUUGCGCUCGAAACUACGUGGCUCGAGUGUGGCAGAGGAAGGUGGAAUUCCACGUGUAGCGGUGAAAUGCGUAGAGAUGUGGAGGAACACCGAUGGCGAAGGCAGCCUUCUGGGCCAACACUGACGCUCAUGCACGAAAGCGUGGGGAGCAAACAGG
rnacentral:rRNA from 1 species